CCUACGGGAGACUGCAGUGAGGAAUAUUGGUCAAUGGACGAGAGUCUGAACCAGCCAAGUAGCGUGAAGGAUGACUGCCCUAUGGGUUGUAAACUUCUUUUAUAUGGGAAUAAAACGUUCCACGUGUGGGAUUUUGUAUGUACCAUAUGAAUAAGGAUCGGCUAACUCCGUGCCAGCAGCCGCGGUAAUACGGAGGAUCCGAGCGUUAUCCGGAUUUAUUGGGUUUAAAGGGAGCGUAGGUGGAUUGUUAAGUCAGUUGUGAAAGUUUGCGGCUCAACCGUAAAAUUGCAGUUGAAACUGGCAGUCUUGAGUACAGUAGAGGUGGGCGGAAUUCGUGGUGUAGCGGUGAAAUGCUUAGAUAUCACGAAGAACUCCGAUUGCGAAGGCAGUUCACUGGACUGCAACUGACACUGAGGCUCGAAAGUGUGGGUAUCAAACAGGAUUGGAUACCCCAGUAGUC
rnacentral:rRNA from 1 species